GACGGAGGGUGCAAGCGUUAUUCGGAAUCAUUGGGCGUAAAGGGCGUGCAGGCGGUGGGUUAAGUCCGAUGUGAAAGCCCAGGGCUCAACCCUGGAAGUGCAUAUGAAACUGGCUUACGUGAGGCCGGGAGAGGGAAGCGGAAUUCCUGGUGUAGAGGUGAAAUUCGUAGAUAUCAGGAGGAACACCGGUGGCGAAGGCGGCUUCCUGGACCGAGACUGACGCUGAGACGCGAGAGCGUGGGGAGCAAACAGG
rnacentral:rRNA from 1 species